rnacentral:rRNA from 1 species
AGGAAUCGUACCCCAAACCGACACAGGUGGUCGGGUAGAGAAUACCAAGGCGCUUGAGAGAACUCGGGUGAAGGAACUAGGCAAAAUGGUACCGUAACUUCGGGAGAAGGUACGCUCUUGAUGGUGAAGUCCCUCGCGGAUGGAGCUGACGAGAGUCGCAGAUACCAGGUGGCUGCAACUGUUUAUUAAAAACACAGCACUGUGCAAAAUCGCAAGAUGACGUAUACGGUGUGACGCCUGCCCGGUGCCGGAAGGUUAAUUGAUGGGGUUAGCGCAAGCGAAGCUCUUGAUCGAAGCCCCGGUAAACGGCGGCCGUAACUAUAACGGUCCUAAGGUAGCGAAAUUCCUUGUCGGGUAAGUUCCGACCUGCACGAAUGGCGUAAUGAUGGCCACGCUGUCUCCACCCGAGACUCAGUGAAAUUGAAAUCGCUGUGAAGAUGCAGUGUACCCGCGGCUAGACGGAAAGACCCCGUGAACCUUUACUACAGCUUGGCACUGAACAUUGAACCUACAUGUGUAGGAUAGGUGGGAGGCUAUGAAGACGUGACGCCAGUUGCGUUGGAGCCGUCCUUGAAAUACCACCCUUGUAUGUUUGAUGUUCUAACUUAGACCCAUUAUCUGGGUUGAGGACAGUGCCUGGUGGGUAGUUUGACUGGGGCGGUCUCCUCCCAAAGAGUAACGGAGGAGCACGAAGGUGGGCUAAUCACGGUUGGACAUCGUGAGGUUAGUGCAAUGGCAUAAGCCCGCUUAACUGCGAGAAUGACGGUUCGAGCAGGUGCGAAAGCAGGUCAUAGUGAUCCGGUGGUUCUGUAUGGAAGGGCCAUCGCUCAACGGAUAAAAGGUACUCCGGGGAUAACAGGCUGAUACCGCCCAAGAGUUCAUAUCGACGGCGGUGUUUGGCACCUCGAUGUCGGCUCAUCACAUCCUGGGGCUGAAGUCGGUCCCAAGGGUAUGGCUGUUCGCCAUUUAAAGUGGUACGCGAGCUGGGUUUAGAACGUCGUGAGACAGUUCGGUCCCUAUCUGCCGUGGGCGUUGGAAGAUUGAAGGGGGCUGCUCCUAGUACGAGAGGACCGGAGUGGACGAACCUCUGGUGUUCGGGUUGUGUCGCCAGACGCAUUGCCCGGUAGCUAAGUUCGGAAUUGAUAAGCGCUGAAAGCAUCUAAGCGCGAAGCGAGCCCUGAGAUGAGUCUUCCCUGAUACUUUAAGUAUCCUAAAGGGUUGUUCGAGACUAGAACGUUGAUAGGCAGGGUGUGUAAGCGUUGUGAGGCGUUGAGCUAACCUGUACUAAUUGCCCGUGAGGCUUAACCAUACAACACCCAAGGGGUUUUGUA